UACAGAGGUCUCGAGCGUUAGGCGGAAUCACUGGGCUUAAAGCGUGUGUAGGCGGAUCGGUAAGUACCUUGUGAAAUCCCACAGCUUAACUGUGGAACUGCUUGGUAUACUGCCAGUCUUGAGCCAGCUAGGGGCUACCGGAACAAAUGGUGGAGCGGUGAAAUGCGUAGAUAUCAUUUGGAACGCCAAUGGUGAAAACAGGUAGCUGGGGCUGUGCUGACGCUGAGACACGAAAGCCAGGGGAGCGAACAGG
rnacentral:rRNA from 1 species